GACAGAGGGGGCAAGCGUUGCUCGGAAUUACUGGGCGUAAAGGGCGCGUAGGCGGGAUGGCAAGUCGGUCGUGAAAUCCCUCGGCUCAACCGAGGAACGUCGAUCGAUACUGCUGUUCUUGAGGAUUGCAGAGGAGACUGGAAUUCCCGGUGUAGCGGUGAAAUGUGUAGAGAUCGGGAGGAACACCGGUGGCGAAGGCGGCUCACUGGCUCGUAUCUGACGCUCAGGCGCGAUAGCGUGGGGAUCAAACAGG
rnacentral:rRNA from 1 species